GAUGAAGAACGCAGCGAAAUGCGAUACGUAAUGUGAAUUGCAGAAUUCAGUGAAUCAUCGAAUCUUUGAACGCAUAUUGCGCUCUCUGGUAUUCCGGAGAGCAUGCUUGUUUGAGUAUCAGUAAACACCUCAACUUCCAUAUCUUUUUUGAAAUGGGAGUUGGACUUGAGUGAUCCCAACGCUUUUCCUCACCGAAAAGUGGCGGGUUACUUGAAAUGCAGGUGCAGCUGGACUUUUCUCUGAGCUAUAAGCAUAUCUAUUUAGUCUGCCUAAAAAACAGAUUAUUACCUUUGCUGCAGCUAACAUAAAGGAGAUUAGUUCUUGUGCUGACUGAUGCAGGAUUCACAAAGACAGGCUUCGGCCGACUUUGUAAACUCGAUCUCAAAUCAAGUAAGACUACCCGCUGAACUUAAGCAUAUAAAUAAGCGGAGGA
rnacentral:misc_RNA from 1 species